AACGAACGCUGGCGGCAUGCCUAACACAUGCAAGUCGAACGAGACCUUCGGGUCUAGUGGCGCACGGGUGCGUAACGCGUGGGAACCUGCCCUUAGGUUCGGAAUAACUCCCCGAAAGGGGUGCUAAUACCGGAUAAUGUCUUCGGACCAAAGAUUUAUCGCCUUUGGAUGGGCCCGCGUUGGUUUAGCUAGUUGGUAGGGUAAAAGCCUACCAAGGCGACGAUCCAUAGCUGGUCUGAGAGGAUGAUCAGCCACACUGGGACUGAGACACGGCCCAGACUCCUACGGGAGGCAGCAGUGGGGAAUAUUGGACAAUGGGCGAAAGCCUGAUCCAGCCAUGCCGCGUGAGUGAUGAAGGCCUUAGGGUUGUAAAGCUCUUUUACCCGGGAUGAUAAUGACAGUACCGGGAGAAUAAGCUCCGGCUAACUCCGUG
rnacentral:rRNA from 1 species